AACACAAAGAUGCUUUAUCCAACUUAUCUGCUGUGUUUAUUGUGGCUCUAUAUUCAGUGUUCCUGGGGACAAAUUGUGCUGACUCAGUCUGCAGAUGUCACUGUGUCACCUGGUGAAAGUGUCACCAUAACAUGUAAAGCCAGUAGUAGUGUUAGCGGCUACUUAGCCUGGUACCAACAGAAUCCAGGACAACCUCCAAUGCUUCUUAUCUAUGAUACAAGCAGCAAAGUCACAGGGACCCCAGACAGGUUCAGCGGCAGUGGGUCUGGUACUGAUUACACUCUAACAAUCAGCAGAGUGCAAGCAGAAGAUGCAGCAGAUUAUUACUGUCAGCAGGGUUAUACCCCUCGCACAAUGAUGAUACAAUGUUCUGAAUAUGAACUUGAUGAAAUAUGUCCAAGAGCCGUAUAUGAGCUUCAAGCUUCCCAAUGCUGCUUUAUUCAAAAUGUUGCUUUUUCCACAGCUAAACAAACCAUCAAUCUCUAA